rnacentral:rRNA from 1 species
UGAUCCUGCCGGAGGCUACUGCUAUCGGGGUCCGACUAAGCCAUGCGAGUUGAGAGGGGUAAGCCCUCGGCAUAUUGCUCAGUAACACGCGGAUAACCUGCCCUUGGGUUUGGGAUAACCCCGGGAAACUGGGACUAAUACCGGAUAGAUCAAAGAUACUGGAAUGUUCUUUGUUCGAAAGCUCCGGCGCCCAAGGAUGGGUCUGCGGCCUAUCAGGUAGUAGUGGGUGUAACGUACCUACUAGCCUACGACGGGUAAGGGUUGUGAGAGCAAGAGCCCUGAGAUGGAUUCUGAGACAUGAAUCCAGGCCCUACGGGGUGCAGCAGGCGCGAAAACUUUACACUGCGGGAAACCGCGAUAAGGGGACCCCGAGUGCCAGCACCUAGUGCUGGCUGUCCAGCUGUUCAAAAAACAGUUGUUAGCAAGGGCCGGGCAAGACCGGUGCCAGCCGCCGCGGUAACACCGGCGGCCCGAGUGGUAGCCGUUAUUAUUGGGUUUAAAGGGUCCGUAGCCGGCUUAUUAAGUCUCUUGGGAAAUCUGGCGACUCAACCGUCAGGCGUUCAAGAGAUACUGGUAGGCUUGGGACCGGGAGAGGUGGGAGGUACUCCAGGGGUAGGGGUGAAAUCUCGUAAUCCUUGGGGGACCACCGAUGGCGAAGGCAUCCCACCAGAACGGGUCCGACGGUGAGGGACGAAAGCUGGGGGCACGAACCGGAUUAGAUACCCGGGUAGUCCCAGCUGUAAACGAUGCUCGCUAGGUGUCAGGUGCGGUGCGACCGCAUUUGGUGCCGUAGUGAAAACUUGAAGCGAGUCACCUGGGAAGUACGGUCGCAAGGCUGAAACUUAAAGGAAUUGGCGGGGGAGCACUACAACGGGUGGAGCCUGCGG